UACGUAGGGUGCAAGCGUUAAUCGGAAUUACUGGGCGUAAAGCGUGCGCAGGCGGCUAUGCAAGACAGAUGUGAAAUCCCCGGGCUCAACCCUGGGAACUGCAUUUGUGACUGCAUAGCUAGAGUACGGUAGAGGGGGAUGGAAUUCCGCGUGUAGCAGUGAAAUGCGUAGAUAUGCGGAGGAACACCGAUGGCGAAGGCAAUCCCCUGGACCUGUACUGACGCUCAUGCACGAAAGCGUGGGGAGCAAACAGG
rnacentral:rRNA from 1 species